UGGAUCUUAGCCAUACACACUC
rnacentral:siRNA from 1 species